UACGUAGGUGGCAAGCGUUGUCCGGAUUUAUUGGGCGUAAAGCGCGCGGAGGUGGUUCUUUAAGUCGGAUGUGAAAGCCCCCGGCUCAACCGUGGAGGGUCAUUGGAAACUGGGGAACUUGAGUGCAGGAGAGGAAAGUGGAAUUCCACGUGUAGCGGUGAAAUGCGUAGAGAUGUGGAGGAACACCAGUGGCGAAGGCGGCUUUCUGGUCUGUAACUGACACUGAGGUGCGAAAGCGUGGGGAGCGAACAGG
rnacentral:misc_RNA from 1 species